AUAUGAGGCCUCGUAAUCGGAAUGAGUACACUUUAAAUACUUUAACGAGGAACAAUUGGAGGGCAAGUCUGGUGCCAGCAGCCGCGGUAAUUCCAGCUCCAAUAGCGUAUACUAAAAUUGUUGCGGUUAAAAAGCUCGUAGUUGCACCUGUGCGCCGCGCUGUCGGUGCACCGCAUCCGCGGUGACCACUGGCACGUCGCGGGGCAUCGCGUCGGUGAGACUCCGGUAAAACGGAGUCUCAAUUGAAACAAUCCUAUCGCGGUGCUCUUAACCGAGUGUCGAGGUGGGCCGACAAUACUUACUUUGAACAAAUUAGAGUGCUCAAAGCGGGCUAAAAACGCCGCUCGAAUAUUUUUUGCAUGGAAUAAUGGAAUACGACCUCGGUUCUAUUUUGUUGGUUCUCGGAAUCCGAGGUAAUGAUUAAUAGGAACAACUGGGGGCAUUCGUAUUGCGACGUUAGAGGUGAAAUUCUUGGAUCGUCGCAAGACGGACUACAGCGAAAGCAUUUGCCAAAGGUGUUUUCAUCAAUCAAGAACGAAAGUUAGAGGUUCGAAGGCGAUUAGAUACCGCCCUAGUUCUAACCAUAAACGUUGCCACCUGGCGAUCCGCCGACGUUACUAUAAUGGCUCGGCGGGCGGCCUCCGGGAAACCAAAGUUUUUGGGCUCCGGGGGGAGUAUGGUUGCAAAGCUGAAACUUAAAGGAA
rnacentral:rRNA from 2 species